GGGCCCCUAGCUCAUGCUUUGGUUAGAGCAGUCGACUCAUAAUCGAUUGGUGCUCGGUUCGACUCCGAGGGGGCCCACCA
rnacentral:tRNA from 1 species